rnacentral:rRNA from 1 species
AGCAGCCGCGGUAAUACGGAGGGGGUUAGCGUUGUUCGGAAUUACUGGGCGUAAAGCGCGCGUAGGCGGAUUAGAAAGUUGGGGGUGAAAUCCCGGGGCUCAACCUCGGAACUGCCUCCAAAACUGCUAGUCUAGAGUUCGAGAGAGGUGAGUGGAAUUCCGAGUGUAGAGGUGAAAUUCGUAGAUAUUCGGAGGAACACCAGUGGCGAAGGCGGCUCACUGGCUCGAUACUGACGCUGAGGUGCGAAAGUGUGGGGAGCAAACAGGAUUAGAUACCCUGGUAGUCCACACCGUAAACGAUGAAUGCCAGUCGUCGGGUAGUAUACUAUUCGGUGACACACCUAACGGAUUAAGCAUUCCGCCUGGGGAGUACGGUCGCAAGAUUAAAACUCAAAGGAAUUGACGGGG